rnacentral:rRNA from 1 species
UACAGAGGUCUCGAGCGUUGUUCGGAUUCAUUGGGCGUAAAGGGCGCGUAGGCGGCGGGGUAAGUCUGGUGUGAAAUCUCGGAGCUCAACUCCGAAAUUGCACUGGAUACUGCUCUGCUAGAGGGCUGGAGAGGAGAUCGGAAUUCACGGUGUAGCAGUGAAAUGCGUAGAUAUCGUGAGGAGGACCAGUGGCGAAGGCGGGUCUCUGGACAGUUCCUGACGCUGAGGCACGAAGGCCAGGGGAGCAAACGGG